UAUUAUAAAACCAUCAGCUGCAAAUUAAUGACAGUGACCUUCUACUAGAUAAGUCUUGUAUAUUAACUAGUAAAAGGUAUAAAUGUUUACUCAAUUAUAAUCCUUUUUCAAAGCUAUACUUCUCAAAAAUGCAUUCUUCCAAUAUGAGAUAUUCACCCACUAAAAAUCCAUUCAAUAGAAACUUAGAAGGUGCUUUCUGACAGCAAUCUGUACACUGCAUUUUUAUGUUUUUAUUUUAUAGUUUUUGUUAAUGCAAGAAAAGUUGACUUAUUGACCAGACCAAAACAAUCUAUUGGGAAGAUUUCAUUGGAUUAAGAUAUACCAUAAUUUUAUUUUUGUAUGACAAUGUUAUUUUUGUAUAUUAUGAGCAUUUAAAUUUUGAGUUCAUUUUCAUAAGAUUGUAUUUCUAGGAUAUCUUGAUUAAAUGAGCUAGCUUCAGGUCCUGGAGCUGAUAACAUGUCUAGAACUACUUAGUCAUAAACUGACCGACAGGCAGUGCAGUGUAGAAAAGCAAGUGUAUCUGAAGUCACAUAUAAAUGAGCACAGCAUAUGGAAAGCCAAGUGUACCUACUGCACUUUUGGAGAAGAUACAAGAUAAGGAGCUCUUGUAUUUAGAUUUCUAGUUUCUUAAAGAAUGUUUGUUCCUCAGUCAUAAUACUGGUGCUAUGUAUGAAUAAGAGAUACCAGUAAAAGGAAAAGAAAGAUGUUUUACAAAUAGGAUAUUACACUACAGUGUAGGGCAAUCUCUACCUAUCUGAGGGCCCAUGAUAUUUACAUUCCACCCUGCUAUGUGGUCCCACCCUCCACAUUUGCACCCUUGCUUGGGGUACUGGAUUAUAACAACAUCCAACUUUCAUGUCGGUUUUGUUGUUUUGAGACAGGGUCUCAGGUAGCCUGGUAUCAAACUGUAGUCUAGGAGAUGGCCUUGAACUCAAGAUAUUCCUGUUUCCACGCUGAGUUCUGGGAUUAUAGGCAUGUGUCAUCAUGCCUGAUUUUAUGUGGUCUAGAGAACUGAACCCAGGGCCUACUGCAUUCUAGGCAAGUACUCUACCAACUGAGCUACCUCCCAGCCUGCUUUUGUUUACUGCUUUUGUUCUCUUUUCACUGAUUUUAUGACAAAAUAAGCAAGUAGAUAUUAAUGCUAUGAUUUAAUUUUUUUAUUAUUUUAUUGUCAUCAAAGGUUUGCCCACUUAAUGGUAAGAAAUAGUUCCUCUGUAUCUUUGUUUUUGUCUCAGUUUUAAAAACUGAGCUUUACAGUGUGUGUGUGUGAGUGUAUACACCUCUGGGUUGAAGGAUGAGUCUACUCUUUUUCUACCUUGUAGAGUACAAGAAUUAAGCGUAGGUCAGCAGGUUAAUGCCAUUACCCAAUGAACACUGGGUUCGUUGCAAUUCUGAGUGAUGCCCAAUCUCUUUCAUGUAUUUAGAAGACAAUAUAAGAGCUAGGGACAGAGCUUACUAGCAUAUAAGGGACGCUGAAUUCAGUCCCCAGCACCUACCUCCAAAACAAAACAAAGCAUUCGAUUUAAUGCUUCAUGUAACAACCCCCAAAACGGUCUCAUUGCUGAUGUUCCCUUUAAUCCAAGAGCAUCUCUUAUAAAAGAAUCUCUUCAGUAGGGAUAGUUUUAAAUUUAUUUUUAUUUUAUGUACAUUCAUGUUUUGUCUACAUGUAUGCUCGUGGGAGGGUGUCAGAUCCCCUGGAAUUGGAGUUACAGACAGUUGUAAGCUGCCAAGUGGGUGCUGGAAAUUGAACCCAGAGCCUCUGAAAGAGCAACCAGUGUACUCUUAACUGCUGAGCCAUCUCCAAUCCAAGUUAGGAUCUCUUUAAUCUUCAUAUACUCAGACAGUUUUAAUAGUUGCUUGUAAGAUUAAAAGGAAAACUUCUUAAGUAUGUAUCUUUUUAUCUUGAUACAUUCAGACACUUUCCCUUGGUUCUUUGUGAAUUUCAUAUCAUGCACCACAAUCGCAUUCAAUUCCCCCUCCCCUUGUACCUGUCCUCCACCCUUGCAAUCGCCCCCCAGUAGAGGGGGAAAAACUCUCAUUGUGGAAGCUGUAGUGUGUCACACCAUUUCCCAUAGUAUGGCUUUUUGUCCACAAGCAUUUGCUUGCAAAUACUCACUGCACUGACUCAUUGGUCUGGUACAAGGACUCUGGCUUCUGCCACUCCACUGGAACCUCAUUGGGACUGCUCUUGGAUAUCCUGUUGCUGCUGCCUGUGUCAUGGAGAUCCUGUAGUUUUGGAUCUGUAGGACCAGCCCCUUCAUGCACUCCACCAGUUCAUGGAUGGGGUAGAUGUAGGGUUGGGGUGAUUCAAAGCUCUGAACCUGGGCCUGAGAGGUAUUUGUGCUGACCAGCCCACUGGUGCUCCUAUUUUUCUGCACUCUGUAGGCUCACCAGCAACCCCUCUCCCAAAUUGGGUCAGCGCUACCCUGCUGCCGAGGCAUGGUUCAGAGCCUGCUCUUCCAAGGGCUGCAGCAGGUGAGGGUCAGGGCUAGCUCUCCUGUUUGCUGUAGGCAGAAUUCUUUAAUUCUAGGACCACAAAUAAUUGAAAAUACAGUUUGUCUUCCUGUAACAGACUUCUCUCUUCAUAUGGGUAUCUCCACUUGCAUCUAUUUUCCCAGGAAAUAACAAAUUCAUUCUUUCUACCUGAAUAUAACUGCAUUAUGUAUGUACACCAUUCUUUUAUAAUGCACAUGUAUCUUCAACAGUAGAGAGGCUUAUCCCAUUAUCUUGGGUACCGUGAACUGUACUGCAGCAAACAUGAAUGUGGUUUGUUGCCUUAGGGUCCUUUGGGUAUAUACCCAGAAAUAGGAUAGCUGGAUCAUGCCAUGGUUCUGUUUCCGUCUCUUUAAAGACACUUCCUUUAAUUUCCACAGAGCUAGUUCAACCUACAUUCCCAUCAUCAGUAUAAAAAUGUUCCUUGUUUCCCACAUCCUUGCCUAUAUGUAUAAUUGAUAGCCACCGUAACUGGGGGGAGAUGGAAAUGAAGUUUUAAUUUCUGUUCCCCUGGUGGAUAAGAUGAUGAAAGAUUUAUCAUGUUGAUUGGCCAUUUGCAGCACUUCAUUUUAAAAUUUUCUCUUCACUUAUUAGCUCAGUCACUAAUUGGAUUGUCUGGUUUUUUAAUAGAUUUUUGUUGUUGUUGUUGUUGUUGUUGGUGGUGGUGUUUGUGUGUGUUCUUUAUAUGGUUUGGAUCUCUUCUCUCAUUCUUUAGCCUGUCUCUUCACUUGAUCAUUUUCCUGCUGUAUAGAACUAUUUUUAUUUUUGUUUUUCUUAAAUAUCAUGUAAUCCCCAUUUGUUAGUUUUUGAUAGUUAUUUCCUGACUUACUGGAGUCUGUUUCAGAAUGCCCUUGCCCAUAUCUAUAUCUUUAAACUUUCUUUUUUCUUUUUUCGAGGUAAGGUUUCUCUAUGUAGCCCUGGCUGUCCUGGAACUCACGCUGUAGAUCAGGCUGGCCUUGAACUCAGAAAUCCGCCUGCCUCUGCCUCCUAAGUGCUGGGAUUAAAGGCGUGUGCCACCAUUGCCUGGCUAACAUCUUUUUCUUCAAUACUUUCCCAAUUCAGGUCUUAAAUAAAAAGUUUUGAUCCAUUUUGAAAUGACUUUUUGUGCAGGGUGAUUAAUCUAGUUUUGUUGUUUUUUGUUGUUGUUGUUGUUUUGUUUUGUUUUUCUUGGAAGUGUCUGCCCAGUUUUCCUAACAUCAUUUCUUAAAAAGAAUGUUUUUGGCAUCUUAGUAAAAUAAAAUAAAAUAAAAUC
rnacentral:lncRNA from 1 species